GAGUUAACCCAUUCCACCCUGCACACACAGCUGGUCCCAUCGGAUUUCAGAGGCUAAGCAGGUUCAGGCUUGGUUAGUACUUGGAUGGAAGACUGCCACCAAAGAAUACCACGGGUCUCU
rnacentral:rRNA from 1 species